UACGUAGGGGGCUAGCGUUGUCCGGAAUCAUUGGGCGUAAAGAGCGUGUAGGCGGCCCGGUAAGUCCGCUGUGAAAGUCGGGGGCUCAACCUCGGGUCUGCAUCCGAUACUGCCCGGCUAGAGGUAGGUAGGGGAGAUCGGAAUUCCUGGUGUAGCGGUGAAAUGCGCAGAUAUCAGGAGGAACACCGGUGGCGAAGGCAGCCCCCUGGGCCGACACUGACGCUCAGGCACGAAAGCGUGGGGAGCAAACAGG
rnacentral:rRNA from 1 species